UACGUAGGAGGCAAGCGUUGUCCGGAAUUACUGGGCGUAAAGCGCGUGUAGGUGGUGGGACAAGUCUGCUGUGAAAGCGCCUGGCUUAACCGGGCGAGGUCGGCGGAAACUGUCCGACUCGAGGACGGUAGAGGGGGGUGGAAUUCCCGGUGUAGUGGUGAAAUGCGUAGAGAUCGGAAGGAACACCAGUGGCGAAGGCGUCUACCUGGCCUAAUACUGACACUGAGGCACGAAAGCGUGGGGAGCAAACAGG
rnacentral:rRNA from 1 species